GGUUUCAUGUUAUUGUUGUAUCUGGUGUUAACAUGCUGUUUGACAGAACUGUAUGCAUUAACGUGUAGUAGCCGCCCAGGUAGAGCUAACUAUUUUAUACACAGUUGGGUGUAUACAUGAACUGUUUAAUAAUGUAUCAAAUGUUAUAUGUUCAUUAUAUUCUACAAUGACAGCCACAUUGGCUCCAGUGACUUGAACAGAGAGCAUUUAGUCCCGGGCAGCCUCCGGAAGAAGCAGAGGAUGUGUGCUGCGUGUUUCAGCCACUAGAUGGAGACAACGCCUCGUCCACACAGUGAGAGCUCAGCGGAAGUUGUGUGAGCGUGCUCCCCAACACAACCAAAACAAUGAAAGCUAUCAUUCAGCGGGUCACCAAGGCGACUGUAACAGUGGGAGAAGAACAGAUCAGUUCAAUAGGUCGAGGGCUGUGUGUACUGCUGGGUAUAUCAGUGGAGGACACCCAGAGGGAUGCUGACUACAUUGUACGGAAGAUCCUGAACCUGCGGCUGUUUGAAGACGCGAACGGGCGAGCGUGGAGCAAGAGCGUCAUGGACCAGGACUUUGAGGUUCUGUGCGUGAGCCAGUUCACACUGCAGUGUAUACUGAAGGGCAACAAGCCAGACUUCCACUCAGCCAUGCCUGCAGAGUUGGCCCAGCCCUUCUACAACAGCAUCCUGGAGAACAUGAGGAGUGCCUACAAGCCAGAGCUCAUUAAGGACGGGCAGUUUGGGGCCUACAUGCAAGUCCACAUUCAAAACGACGGACCUGUUACCAUAGAAAUUACAUCACCCUCUGGUCCCACAGACCCCAAACAGCUGUCAAAGCAGGAGAAGCAGCAGCAGAGGAAAGAGAAGACGCGCUCCAAGGGCCCCUCAGAGUCGAGCAGGGACAAAGGCGCCCAGCGUUACCGGCAGGACCCCAACGCCAGUAGUGGAGCCGAGGGAGAUGUGUCGUCAGAGAGAGAGCCCUAGGUCGGUAGGGUGAGGGAGCCGAGGAGAUGUACACAGAAAUACACACAGGAGUCUGCAGAUGUCAUACUGGGGACAUGAAGGUGAGCCCAGUUUCCUCAGGAAGGCCUUAAUCCUCAGUGACUCUUACACCUGAUCGUGGACCAUCCUCCUUCCUGUUUGCAAAUCAGCUGGAUUAUCUUGGCCUGUCGCAGAACAUCGUCCCCUCACUGGUGUCUUUGGCUUCUCUUCUCCAGAAUCACAUGGGACUGCCUAGGUGUAAACAAAGUAGCAAAGUCUAACUAGAAGACAGAUUGAUGUAGGGAAAUGCAUAGGAAGGUAACAUGGGUGAUAUGGGAUGGAGCAGAUAUCAAUAGCACUACGCUGUGUGGCUCAGUAGCUUUCUGUACUCUCUUACUGUCUUUGGGCUCUGUCUCUGUCCGUCUUUCUCUUUCAGAUUCUCCCUGCCUGUCUCACUCUCAGCCCGCUGUUCCCACUUAAUCUCUGCUCAGACACAUGGCACUGACCCUGAAGCAUAACUCUGCUCCAAGUCCUUGGCUUAUAGUACAGGCACAAGAACAUCAAGACAGCGAUAAUGCAACAGCCUUGACAUAUUCAUUGUCCCAGUUACACCUCAUGACUGGUAUAGUACAUGUGUAAAUGCUGUUUAAAAAUGUUAUUGUGCCAGAACAAAAUUGAAAAAGCUGGUAGAUCAGUGAUAAUGUGUUCAGUGGCUGGUACAGUUUGAAUAUUCACUAGCCAUUUGGCCUGUGGACAAAAAACUUAAAGGUGCUGUAAGUGUAAGGUGCAUUUUGGCUAACUUUCUGUCCGUUCAGUCCCCUCCCUACUCCCCCACGAAACAAUUUUGUGAAGUGUGAACGGGCCUCCUGAACAUGUAUUCUCCGUUUACUGCAGAAAGGAGGGACUGAGGGACCCAUGUCACUGCCAUAAGACUCUAUAUCAGUAAUUGCUGUCAGGAUGUAGAGCUAUUUAACACUUACCUUAACACUAAAAUAUUGCCUACAGCACCUUUAACUGGUACCCUACCCGUAUGAGUACUGUAUUAAGGUCCAACUGAAAUAUCUAGAGAACACAGGUCUGCUCCAUAAAUUAGAUUUCCUGUCAGUUGGCAAAAGGGAGAAAUUAAAAUUUUACGUUAGCUUUCCUUCUAUAAGCAUGGACACGUCUGGUGUUGCACCUUAGCUUGCUACAUUAAGUAACAAAGUAACACACGUCAUGGGAAACGUGCACUGUUUGCCGGCUAGAUAGCUAAUUAGCUAGUUAGCUGAACAGCUUAUAAAUGCACCUGCAAAUUUCAACAUUGGACAGUUUAGAUGAUGUUAAAUGUUGCGGACCUUCCCUUUCAGUUCCAUUGCUAACAAAAGGCUGUCUGUCCUCGUCUUGUAAACUAGUUAACCGUUUGUCUGUUUACAUUGUCUCUGUGGUUGUUAGUCUGCAAGGAGCAUUUUAGAUACUCUCUAAAACAUUUUUCUUCCUCUCAGUGUUCAAAAGAAUAUUAGCGAAACAAUUAAAAACCACUUCAACAUUAUCUUCAAUUGCAAAAUCUGAUGACUUAAUUGUGAUUUCAGUUGGACCUUAAAAUCCCUGAAGAUUACCUGCAUGUCUCUCAUUUAGUCUCCCCACCAGACCCACACUGAGGAACUGAUCGUUUGACUGCAGGGAGGAUGAGUGCCAUACUGCUUGCUUCAGCUGUGGUCGAUUUUACAUCUAGGAUCAAGUAGCUUCGGCUCAGUGACUUCGAGUCUGUUUGUAUCAAUAACAUGUACUCUGCCUCCGUGGAGAUGGCCGACGGCGCUCUACUAUCAUUGAACACUGACACCAGUGUGGCUGGGCAGACUUUGGCCUCACAGAAACACAUCUGUUUCUUAAUGUUUUUGAUUGUGACACUGUCCUGCUGUCCCUUGACAGAUCUGAAUGUACAUUUUGUUGGCAUUUUAUAAAGCUGUUAAUAGAGAAAAUAA